rnacentral:tRNA from 1 species
GCUCAGUUGGUUAAGUGUCCAGCUCUUGAUUUCAGCUCAGGUCUGGAUCUCAGGGUUGUGAGUUCAAGCCCCACACUGAGCU